ACUGCCAGACAGAUGGGACAGCGAUCUUUAGCCAGAGAACUCUCUGGAACCAUUAAAGAGAUCCUGGGGACUGCCCAGUCUGUGGGGUGCAAUGUUGAUGGCCGCCACCCUCAUGACAUCAUAGAUGAUAUCAACAGUGGUGCAGUGGAAUGUCCCGCUAGUUAAGAACUACAAAGGAAAAGGACUCAGACAUCAUUUGACAAGCAGUGACUUUUCUAUGUGGCCUCCUCCUUGGGGAGCUGGGUUCUUUGUGUCAGGUGGUUAGCGGGACCAAGUGGGGAACCUGUGGAAGCACCAAUCUGGGCGUCUGUGAUCUCAGCAGUAGCGGGUUUCUGCCUCUGUGCCUGCAGCUCUCAUGAAAGAUGUCUCAGCACUUCUGUAGACAGUCCGGGAGCUCUUCAUAAGAAAUAGUUCUUGGCCAGAAGGAAAGCUUGUAGUGCAGCCUAACUACAGGGUGAUGAGUUCUUCAUCAUAGACCAAGUCAUUUGACUGGUUGGGGCCCAGGGCCUGCACUUCAAGACUUCGAUAUCCAUUCCAGCACACAGCUGGGGUUAACUGAUUGGUCAACAGAGAAA